rnacentral:rRNA from 1 species
CAGACGGCUGAGGAAGACGGAAGGAACCUACCCUUCAGAGGGGGAUAACUCCGCGAAAGCGGGGCUAAGACCGCGUACGCUCAUUCUGGGGAGAACGGAGUGAGGAAAACCGCGAGGUGCUGAAGGAGGGGCUUCCGGCCCAUCAGGUAGUUGGUGAGGUAACGGCCCACCAAGCCGAUGACGGGUCGCUGGUCUAAGAGGAUGAUCAGCCAGACUGGGACUGAGACACGGCCCAG